AGCGAACGCUGGCGGCAUGCUUAACACAUGCAAGUCGCACGGGCAGCAAUGUCAGUGGCGGACGGGUGAGUAACGCGUAGGUAUCUAUCCUUGGGUGGGGGACAACUGUGGGAAACUACAGCUAAUACCGCAUGAUGACCGAGGUCUAAAGGCGCAAGUCGCCUGGGGCGGAGCCUGCGUACGAUUAGCUUGUUGGUGGGGUAAAGGCUUACCAAGGCGACGANCGUUAGCUGGUCUGAGAGGAUGAUCAGCCACAUUGGGACUGAGACACGGCCCAAACUCCUACGGGAGGCAGCAGUGGGGAAUAUUGGACAAUGGGCGCAAGCCUGAUCCAGCAAUGCCGCGUGUGUGAAGAAGGUCUUCGGAUUGUAAAGCACUUUCGACGGGGACGGAUGAUGACGGUACCCGUAGAAGAAGCCCCGGCUAACUUCGUGCCA
rnacentral:rRNA from 1 species